rnacentral:rRNA from 1 species
AGAGUUUGAUCAUGGCUCAGAGUGAACGCUGGCGGCGUGCUUAACACAUGCAAGUCGAACGAGAACGGGUUAUAGCUUGCUAUAACUGUCAGCUAAGUGGCGGACGGGUGAGUAAUGUAUAGUUAAUCUGCCCCCUAGAGAGGGAUAACUACUGGAAACGGUAGCUAAUACCUCAUACUCCUUUUCUCUUAAUGAGAAUUGGGAAAUGUCUUUUCGCUAGGGGAUGAGACUAUAUGGUAUCAGGUAGUUGGUGGGGUAAGAGCCUACCAAGCCUAUGACACCUAGCUGGUCUGAGAGGAUGAUCAGCCACACUGGAACCGAGACACGGUCCAGACUCCUACGGGAGGCAGCAGUGGGGAAUAUUGCACAAUGGAGGAAACUCUGAUGCAGCAACGCCGCGUGGAGGAUGACGCAUUUCGGUGUGUAAACUCCUUUUAUAUGGGAAGAUAAUGACGGUACCAUAUGAAUAAGCACCGGCUAACUCCGUGCCAGCAGCCGCGGUAAUACGGAGGGUGCAAGCGUUACUCGGAAUCACUGGGCGUAAAGCGCGCGCAGGCGGCUUGAUAAGUUGGAUGUGAAAGCCUACGGCUCAACCGUAGAACUGCAUC